rnacentral:rRNA from 1 species
UACGUAGGGGGCUAGCGUUGUCCGGAAUCAUUGGGCGUAAAGAGCGUGUAGGCGGCCCGGUAAGUCCGCUGUGAAAGUCGGGGGCUCAACCCUCGAAUGCCGGUGGAUACUGUCGGUCUAGAGUGCGGAAGAGGCGAGUGGAAUUCCUGGUGUAGCGGUGAAAUGCGCAGAUAUCAGGAGGAACACCAAUUGCGAAGGCAGCUCGCUGGGACGUAACUGACGCUGAGACGCGAAAGCGUGGGGAGCAAACAGG